rnacentral:ncRNA from 1 species
UAAUUAGCGAUGAUCAGGAUGAGUAGAUAAUCAAACGUUGGAUCAGCGAGUCGGUGACCAGGAAACUGGAGGUGUGAUGACCGGCCCAAAGAGGUUAUGGAAUGGACCUGUGAGCUGUUCAUGCGAACACGUUGUGUUAGUAGGAUGAACCGGUUGCCACCGUUAUGGGGCUAGGGUAUCGGAUUUCUAUCCCGUACCUGAAUAGAGGGAAAGCUUUGCUUUCCAAAUUAGGGUGGUAUCGCGAACCAUUUCGCCCCUUUC